AUGCUCUCGGAGGGCGAGGACUCGGUUGUUUGGCCCCAUUCUGCUUCUAGCAGAUUCAGUGUCAAGUCGUUGUACUCUAAGUUGAUCUCAGGGUCCCCCACCUCUAAGUUUAAGAACAUUUGGCCCGCUCGUGUUCCUCCUAAGAUAAAGAUCUUCUUAUGGCAAGCCUUCCAUGGCAGAUUGCCUGCGGCUGACCAGAUGCGAAAAAGGAAUGGGCCUGGCUCUGACAGAUGUGCUUUGUGUGGUGCCCUUGAGGAUACGCAACAUAUUUUCUUUCAUUGCCCCUUGGCUAAAUUCGUUUGGUGCUACAUCCGUUCCUGUCUCCAAGUUGCGUGGAACCCUUCCUCCUUUGCUGAUCUUAGGGCCUUUGCCACGGGCCUGUCGGGGUCCUCUAAACGGGUUUUCGAGGUAGGGUUUGCGGCGAUCUGUUGGUCGCUGUGGACCACGAGGAACAAAUGUACUAUCGAACAUGUCUUCCCGGCUAAACCUGUUGACUGCUUAUUUAAAACUGGCAUAUUUUUUGCAGCAGUGGAGAUCAUUGACUAA
rnacentral:rRNA from 1 species